rnacentral:rRNA from 1 species
AUUGAACGCUGGCGGCAGGCUUAACACAUGCAAGUCGAGCGGAGAUGAGGUGCUUGCGCCUUAUCUUAGCGGCGGACGGGUGAGUAAUGCUUAGGAAUCUGCCUAUUAGUGGGGGACAACAUUCCGAAAGGAAUGCUAAUACCGCAUACGCCCUACGGGGGAAAGCAGGGGAUCUUCGGACCUUGCGCUAAUAGAUGAGCCUAAGUCGGAUUAGCUAGUUGGUGGGGUAAAGGCCUACCAAGGCGACGAUCUGUAGCGGGUCUGAGAGGAUGAUCCGCCACACUGGGACUGAGACACGGCCCAGACUCCUACGGGAGGCAGCAGUGGGGAAUAUUGGACAAUGGGCGGAAGCCUGAUCCAGCCAUGCCGCGUGUGUGAAGAAGGCCUUUUGGUUGUAAAGCACUUUAAGCGAGGAGGAGGCUACCUGGAUUAAUACUCUAGGAUAGUGGACGUUACUCGCAGAAUAAGCACCGGCUAACUCUGUGCCAGCCGCCGCUGUAAAAC